GCCAUUUCCUGAGUUAUUUGACCCUAUUAUGAGUGUGGUAGGAUUCCAAGACUUCCAGUGUGUUUCUUGAGCUUGUUGGUAGCACGGAAAAGCUGUCCACGCCUACGGCAACUGGGACAGGAAUGAUUCCAGCGGGGGAUGUACCCUUUGCUGUGGUGUGUGAGGCUCCUCUCCUGUCCCAGCUUCCUAGUUCUGGGCAAGUUGCAAAUUGCUGAAACUGUCAGUAGGGGUCCCUGGGCAGCAAUAAUGGGGUUUCCAUUGUCCCAGGUCAAACCCUUUUAGCCCCUUUUGUGGUUCCGUCUUCAAAUUCCUUUCCUUUAGCUAGUUCGUCUUGUUCUCUAGUAUGCGUGAUAGAAAUCUGUGGGGGAAAUGGCAAUGACUCUAAUAAAUCAGCGUUUUUCCAAGUGACGUAUUAGUUCCCAUCAACAUUAGAAAGCCUCUCUUCUUCCAGAUUUGUGCUGUGGCGUGACAGUCCCCAAACACACAUUCACCCCAGCAUAGGCUUUCUCUUCAGACCAGGGGCUAACCCAACAGUUUCAUAGCAGCUAUGAGUCCUGCCACCUGUGUCGAUUUCACGUUUGGGAGAUCAAAUCCCCAAAAUCCCCCGAGGACUGGCCCCUGCACAGUAUGUCUCUCCUCCCUGUGUGCCUCACACAUGAGACCCAUCAGGGAGAGCGGCCAAGUUAACACUGGGACCAGGAACCUCAGAGAAACCAGAAUGAGAGCGAGCAUCUCCCUCUAGGGCUGUGAGGUGGUCAGAACCUGGCAUCACGCAGGAUGGCUUCAAAAAGUGCCCCUGCUGAGACGGCUUGGAACUGACCACAGGCUCUUGGUCUGGCAGGGCAGGGAUGAGCGUGGUGUCUCAUGGACCCCAGAUAGCAGCAGCCCCUCAUGGCAGGUGUGGGUUAAAUAUCCCAGAGUCGAAGCUGGAGCCUUUGCAGUGGGAGGCGGCUGCCCACGGCUCUAAGCACCCAGAGGAGUCUCGUCCACAGAGAAGGGAGCCCGCGCUCACUCACCAUGCAGCCUGAGCGCACACCACCGGCAGCGCACUCGCUCCCACAACAGGAGGGACUCGCGACGGAGGAAGGCACCCCGGCACAGGGAACAGCACGGGGAACAGCGCCGUCUCGAGGGUUUGGAAGGCAGCUUCUCCUUAUUUUGGCCACAGUGCAGAUUCUGCUGGUUCAUCACGUAACAUUUCAGCAAGAGGCUCAGCUGCUACAGAAAAGCAACUUCCCAAAUUGGCAGCUGGUGUGUGUGUUUGUGUGAAAGGUUGCUUCAUUUGUGAAACUGGCUGCCCUCAGGAUGGAACUAUUCUCCAUCUGUCAGCCUAGAACAAAUGUCCCAAAUCCCUGACUUCACUUCCAUAAUGUGUGACUCACCUAGUGAGGCUGAACUUUUUAGUAAAGCUCAGCACAUACAGUGUUAGCAGCUGUCAAGAAAUCUCCCACAUAUUGAAUUAGAAUGGAUCCUCAAGAGGGUGAAAAUUCUUUUGUUUUUCUUGUAAAUGCCUAGAAAACUCAGCAGGCAAAUCUGAGGUUCCAUCGCCGCAAAUACUGAAAACCUCUGUAGGUAAAAGAAAGGUCAGGGAAAGACUAAUCGGGAAAGGAACAGACUCGUAAAUGCUCCACCCUGAGCUCUGAGGUUCCCCUGCCUCAUAAAUCUUGCUCAUUUUUUCCAAUUACUUUUUGUCAGGUUUCUUGGCACAAAAUUCUACUGGAGGAGGUAGCAUAUUUAAGUUACCUUAAAUGUCUUGAUGCUUCCUAACGCUUGUCCGGCAUUCCUUUUUCCAGGGUCCUGGUUUCUUGCAAUAGUGACCGAUUGGCUUUCCAUUAGGGGGCCUCUCUUACCUGUUGGUGGCUCCAGAUAAGAGGUUAUUCCCUUUGUGAAUAAUCCUAACUGGGCAAUCUUAAGUUUCUUUUUGUCUUCUUUACCCUUCUCUAUAGUUUACCAAAAUUGGGUUGCUGACCCCAGUACAUAGCUCUGCUCCUGCCACCCGACUACGCUUCCUCUGCUUGGACUUGACCUCCCGGGAGCAAGGCUGGCACAACAGUGAGGGCACCACCAGUGUGGAGUCCCUGGAGCCAUGCCCUCAGAUUGGAAAAAGCCUCAGGGAACGGCUGGCGACAGUGGACGGAGUCUCUCCUGGCUUCUUGGUCCUGCACCUCUGCGUCUCCCAGUUCCCCUGCAGUGAAAAGGCCUUGAGAGCUGUUGUGGGCAGUCCCUCCUGCUGGUUGUCAGGCACGAGGAGCAGCCCGAGUUCUUGCAGGAGGCAGGAACAGCCUUUGAAGUGGGAGAGCUGACGACAGCGUUUCAGUUUUAUUGCAAAAUAAUUGACACCUGUCACUGUACACAAUAAGAAGAGAAGAAAGAAAAAAGAAGAAAGGAAAAUAUUUUUCUCCUUUGAUGAGGACUCUUAGGAUCCACUCGUCGAGCUUUCCCGUGUGUCGCACAGCAGCGCUGACCUGGGUCGUCGUGUGGCACAUUCCGACCCGGGACGUAGUGUCUGUAACAGGAAGUCUGUACCUUUGCCCACCUGCCUCCACGUCCCUCCCCACCCUCUGCUCUGGUGACCACAAGUCGGAUCUCUUUCUCUAUGAGUUUCGUUGGUUUUUUUAGAUCCCAUCUGUGAGUGAGGUCAUACGGUAUUUGUCUUUCUCUCUGUAUUUCUUUCUAAAUCAAAUCCUAUCUCCUUUUAUCUUUCAGAGAUUUCUCUAAUAUUUGCUGAUCACAUUCUUUUUCAUUUGUCAUUACAUCAUAAAUUUAUUCUUGUUUUAUUGAACCUUUCCUAUCAUUUCAAGGAUGUGGUAGUAGGAGGAGUCAAGAAUAGGCGAGCUAAGUCGGCCCUUUUAAGAUCAGAUCCAAACCACUCUGGACUUCAGGCCAAUGAGGAGUUCCCAGAUUAUUCCUUCUGAUUGGCCCAGAAUUUGUGUUGAGACUUUUAGGUUCUGAACAAGUUAAAAGUCGAUUCCUAUGAAGAAGGCUAUCAUUGCUAUCAUUGUCUUUUUUUCUUUUAACAAAUUUCAGGAUUUUAUUUAAGUUUAUUUCGAAAAUAAAUCUAUUACCCUUAUCCUCUACUCUCUGAAAAGUUUCAUAGAAUAUUAAUUAUAUGUGUCAAUCAACUUAGAAUACUUAGUUUUAUUCUCUAUAUAUUUUUCCUCACAACUCUAUAGUAGAAAAGAAAUAAAGCUUAAUAUCUUAUAUCCUUCUUGUUACUCUCUGUUACAUUUUAAGAAUCUGAUUAAUAAAAUUUCAAUACAUUCAAUUCUUUUGAUGUCUAGACCACUAGGUCUGGGAGUUGCCUGGCCCGGCCGUCGGCGCCUCCCCUCCUGAGCAUGAGCAGCUCUGACAGACGGACCAGACCUCGUCUCCUGUCCUCACUCUUCUCACAAAGACUUUUCAAGGUCAUGGUUUUGCGUGUCCCAGGACCAUGCAGGGUCAGAGUCCAGGAAGUGGUUCAAAAAGGAUGGAGGCGUUAAGAUAAAAUAUCUGUGGUUUGAAGGCCUGCUCGAGUCUAAUCUUUAGGAACAUGUAACCUCUUCACAUUUUAAAGUAACUGGGCUUUUCAUGUAUUACCCUUCAUAUGCAGUCAUGUGCCGCAUAACAUUUUGGUCAACGACAGACUGUAUUCAACGGUGGUCCCAUAAGAUUAGCACCAUAGAGCCCAGAUGUGUGGGAGUUUAUACCAUCUAGGCUCAUGUAUGUACACGCUACAAUGUACACACAAGGACAAAAUCACCUGACGAUGGGUUUCCCAGAACGUGUCCCCAUCAAGUGGCGCAUGACUGUAUUUACAUUUGUUACAUUCUUGAGAUCAUAAUUUUGUACCAUUUUGAAAAUUGUCAUUUUCAUUCUUUUACUGAACAUAUUCCAUGUUUUUAUAAAGUCCUGUAUCUGUGGGCAAUAACUAAAUAAAGG
ensembl:lncRNA